GGACUGCGGAAUGGUAUUCUGAGAGAUGCCCCUGCAUAUUUAUUUUGGGACUACGGAACGGUAUUCUGGGAGAUCGCCCUGCAUAUUUACUUUGGGACUACGGGACGGUAUCCUGAAAGAUCCCCUUGCAUAUUUACUUUGGGACUGCGAGACGGUAUCCUCGGGAACCCCCUACACAUUUACUUUUUAGGACUAUGAGAUGGUAUCUAAUCCCCUGUUGUUAUUUCUGUACACUGUACUGUUAUGUUUCUGUGAUUCCCUUCUUAUUAAAUUUCAGUCUUUUUUUAAUACUGCGAUAGUUUGUUCUGCCUUAUUUUAUAUACAUAUACCAGUAGGGCCCUGACUUGACCUCGUCACUACGCGACCAAGGUUAGUCUUGGCACUUACUGGGUACCGUUAUAGUGUAUUCAUGUUACUCUUCUGCACAUGUUUUGGUGUGCAGAUCUAGGUACCUCCUACCAGUCUCGUUUUUAGUUGCAUUGUUGCUGCUGCUUCGGAGACUUCAACGUACAUCUGCCCACGUUCGCAGACCUUGAUUCACCCUCUAUCUCUUUUAUUUUUUUUCUUUAUUACUUUUUCUAGAUACUGAUGUACAGAAUAGUUAGACAAAUCCUAG
rnacentral:lncRNA from 1 species